UGGCCAUAUUACAUUGAAACACUGGUUCUUAUACACUCACCAAAGUUAAGCAACAUCGAGCCUGGUCAGUACUUAGAUGGGUAACCACUUGGGAAUACUAGGUGUUGUAAG